UCUUAUAUAGUAUAGUGGUUAGUAUUCGCGCGUAUCAAGAGUUAAACUCUAGGACGCGCGAGACCGGGGUUCAGUACUCCGUCUGAGAG